CUCUAAUCUGCUGCCUGAGAAGGACAAGCCUGACUGUCGGCCGCACCACAGGGCGAGAUCAAAUCCUUCUAUACUUUGGAAUCAGCCAAAAGAAAAAUGAGGAAAUGCAUUGACAUCAUCCUACAAAUCAUGAUUGACUUCUGCUUUGGAACAGAGGUCCCCUGGACGGCUUCCCACAUGUCACAUCACACACCGAUGUACGAGGCAGAGCCCAAAGGCCACGCUUUUGAAAAAAGGAAAACAAGAACAAGCCCUGUUGCUCUGUACGGAGAGAGGAAGGAGCAGAGGCUGC